rnacentral:rRNA from 2 species
CCUAUCAGCUUGUUGGUGAGGUAAUGGCUCACCAAGGCGUCGACGGGUAGCCGGCCUGAGAGGGUGACCGGCCACACUGGGACUGAGACACGGCCCAGACUCCUACGGGAGGCAGCAGUGGGGAAUAUUGCACAAUGGGCGCAAGCCUGAUGCAGCAACGCCGCGUGAGGGAUGACGGCCUUCGGGUUGUAAACCUCUUUUAGCAGGGAAGAAGCGAAAGUGACGGUACCUGCAGAAAAAGCGCCGGCUAACUACGUGCCAGCAGCCGCGGUAAUACGUAGGGCGCAAGCGUUAUCCGGAAUUAUUGGGCGUAAAGAGCUCGUAGGCGGUUUGUCGCGUCUGCUGUGAAAUCCGGAGGCUCAACCUCCGGCCUGCAGUGGGUACGGGCAGACUA